rnacentral:snRNA from 1 species
GCACGCACACACACACAAUUGGAAUGACACAGAGAAGAUUGACAUCAUCCCUGAGCAAGGAUGACAUGCGAAUUCAUAAAGUGUCCCAUAUUUUA